UGGAUCCGCUGUCGCCGCCGCUCUGCACGCUGCCGCCGGGCCCCGAGCCGCCCCGCUUCGUGUGCUACUGCGAAGGGGAGGAAAGCGGGGAGGGGGACCGCGGCGGCUUCAACCUCUACGUGACCGACGCCGCGGAGCUUUGGAGCACCUGCUUCACGCCGGACAGCCUGGCGGCCCUCGGCAGCCUGUGAGCAGCAAGCUGUGGCUCUGACUCUGCAGGAGGACAGAGCAUCCCUGACGCUUUCAGGGGGGCCCUCGGCACUGGCCUUUGACCUCUCCAAGGUACCAGGCCCAGAGGCAGCCCCCAGGCUGCGGGCGCUGACACUGGGCCUGGCAAAACGCGUGUGGAGCCUGGAGCGGCGACUGGCAGCUGCAGAAGAGACAGCUGUCAGCCCGAGGAAGAGCCCCCGGCCUGCAGGGCCUCAGCUCUUCUUACCAGACCCAGAUCCCCAGAGAGGUGGCCCUGGACCUGGAGUCAGGAGGCGGUGUCCAGGAGAGUCGCUCAUCAACCCCGGGUUCAAGAGUAAGAAACCAGCUGGUGGCGUGGACUUCGAUGAGACCUGAAGGUGCAGCACAAGCGUGGCCCCGCGGGGAGUCCGCCUAUGAGGGGAGAGGCAGUCUUUGAGGCCCCCAUCAGAGACCCCCCGCCACCACCUCCACCUGCCUGUCCUGGGCCAGGACUAACACGGCUCCUCAAAUUCCUUCCCUGUCAAAUAAACAGCUCCCUUGGUUGGAG
rnacentral:lncRNA from 1 species